CCAGUCUAGUGAACCCACCUGUUGGCACUGUCAGGGUUAAGGUCAGGGGUCAGGGACCUGAGGGCUGAGCCAGUCUAGUGAACCCACCUGUUGGCACUGUCAGGGUUAAGGUCAGGGACCUGAGGGCUGAGCCAGUCUAGUGAACCCACCUGUUGGCACUGUCAGGGUUAAGGUCAGGGACCUGAGGGCUGAGCCAGUCUAGUGAACCCACCUGUUGGCACUGUCAGGGUUAAGGUCAGGGACCUGAGGGCUGAGCCAGUCUAGUGAACCCACCUGUUGGCACUGUCAGGGUUAAGGUCAGGGACCUGAGGGCUGAGCCAGUCUAGUGAACCCACCUGUUGGCACUGUCAGGGUUAAGGUCAGGGGUCAGGGACUGAGCCAGUC